rnacentral:rRNA from 1 species
UUGAAAAAGAUAAUUGAUACAAGUCGAUUUGUUUUAAUGGGGAUGUGUUAUUUUAUAAAGUUUAUUAGUAAAAGUAUUUUAAAGUUUUAGUAGAGUCUAAGAGAUAGAAAGAGUUUGUUAAGAGUUAUAGAGAAAAGUAUCGUGAGAGGGGGGUGAAAUAGAUAUGCGGAGUGAGUAAGAGUAAAGUAAAGAUGAGUAUUUGUACCUUGUGUAUUAGGGUUAUUUUAUUUCAGUUAUUUAUAGUUAGGGUCCCGAAAAAAGGAGAGUUAGAUUAGGUUGCCAGAGUUUUUGUGGCAGAAAAAUUUGCGAUUAUAAUUUAGUAGUGAUAUGUUAGUCGAGCUUUUUGAUAUCUGGUUCUUUUGGAAAUAAAUUUAAUUUGAUGUUUAUAUAAGAGGUGAUAUAAAAAGUAGGAACGGGAGGGUGAAGCUUUUUGUUUCAGUUAAGAAGAGAUUAGGGGGAGACGGGGAGAAUGCGGGGGUUAGACUAGGCUUAGAAGUAGCUUUGUUUAGAGAGUGUUAUAACUAAGAUUAAUGGUUAUUUGUUUUUUGUUUGUCUAGUGCAGGUACAGGAGAUUAUUUUUGAGUUGGUUUAUGAAUGUUUAAAAUUGAUAUAUUAGUAAAUGAAUUUUAUAAAGUGGGCGUAGUUAUAAAUUAUGUAGAAGUAUAUAGUUAAUUUUAGCGGUUUAAAUAGAGGAAUUCGGCAAAAUUUGCUUUCGCCUGUUUAUCAAAAACAUGUCUGUAUGAUAGAUUUAUAGAGUCUGACCUGCCCGUUGGGAAUAACUGAAAGGCCGCGGUAUUUUGACCGUGCAAAGGUAGCAUAAUCACUAGUCUUUUAAUUGAAGGCUCGAAUGAACGGUUGGACGAAAAGUUAACUGUCUUUAUUGAAGGGGUAGAAUUUAACUUUUAGGUGAGAGGGCUUAAAUAUUUUAAGGGGACGAUAAGACCCUAUAAAGUUUAACAACUGAGGUUUAAUUGGGGGGGUGUUGAGGAUAAAUUGAGUUUACCAUUAGAAAAUGAGUUGUUUUGUUGGGGCGACAGAAAUAAAAAGGAGUUAACUGUUCUUUUCUUAGGUUUCAGUGAUGUUUGAAGAUUUGUGAUCCUUGGUGGAGAUUGAAGAGUAAAUUACUUUAGGGAUAACAGCGUAAUUUUUUUUGAGAGUUCUUAUCGACAGAAAAGUUUGCGACCUCGAUGUUGAAUUAAGAAGUUCCUUAUAGAGUAGAAGCUAUAAGAGGAAGGUCUGUUCGACCUUUAAAUUUUUACAUGAUUUGAGUUCAAACCGGUGUGAGCCAGGUUGGUUUCUAUCUUUUAAGUAAAGUAAAAUUGUUUUAGUACGAAAGGAUUGGAUAGUUGAAAUAUUUUCAUAUUGUAAGUGGGUUUGGUCGGUAGAGGGGAGGGCACCUUUGACGUUAAUUUCAGAAAUUAAUGU